CAAACGGCCCUUUUCAGGGCCCCUCAAAAGAUCACACGUGAGCGCCU
rfam:Lasius niger Lnig_2.1_13924, whole genome shotgun sequence.